CAGUCGCCACGGUAAUACGUAGGUGGCAAGCGUUGUCCGGAAUUAUUGGGCGUAAAGCGCGCGCAGGCGGAUCAGUCAGUCUGUCUUAAAAGUUCGGGGCUUAACCCCGUGAUGGGAUGGAAACUGCUGAUCUAGAGUAUCGGAGAGGAAAGUGGAAUUCCUAGUGUAGCGGUGAAAUGCGUAGAUAUUAGGAAGAACACCAGUGGCGAAGGCGACUUUCUGGACGAAAACUGACGCUGAGGCGCGAAAGCCAGGGGAGCGAACGGGAUUAGAUACCCCUGUAGUCCCUGUCUCUUAUACC
rnacentral:rRNA from 1 species